rnacentral:rRNA from 1 species
UACGUAGGGCGCAAGCGUUGUCCGGAAUUAUUGGGCGUAAAGAGCUCGUAGGCGGUCUGUCGCGUCCGUUGUGAAAACUCGAGGCUCAACCUCGGGCUUGCAGUGGAUACGGGCAGACUAGAGUACUGCAGGGGAGACUGGAAUUCCUGGUGUAGCGGUGGAAUGCGCAGAUAUCAGGAGGAACACCGGUGGCGAAGGCGGGUCUCUGGGCCGAUACUGACGCUGGAGACGCGAAAGCGUGGGGAGCAAACAGG